rnacentral:rRNA from 1 species
AAGUCGAGCGGACAGAUGGGGAGCUUGCUCCCUGAUGUUAGCGGCGGACGGGUGAGUAACACGUGGGUAACCUGCCUGUAAGACUGGGAUAACUCCGGGAAACCGGGGCUAAUACCGGAUGGUUGUUUGAACCGCAUGGUUCAAACAUAAAAGGUGGCUUCGGCUACCACUUACAGAUGGACCCGCGGCGCAUUAGCUAGUUGGUGAGGUAACGGCUCACCAAGGCAACGAUGCGUAGCCGACCUGAGAGGGUGAUCGGCCACACUGGGACUGAGACACGGCCCAGACUCCUACGGGAGGCAGCAGUAGGGAAUCUUCCGCAAUGGACGAAAGUCUGACGGAGCAACGCCGCGUGAGUGAUGAAGGUUUUCGGAUCGUAAAGCUCUGUUGUUAGGGAAGAACAAGUACCGUUCGAAUAGGGCGGUACCUUGACGGUACCUAACCAGAAAGCCACGGCUAACUACGUGCCAGCAGCCGCGGUAAUACGUAGGUGGCAAGCGUUGUCCGGAAUUAUUGGGCGUAAAGGGCUCGCAGGCGGUUUCUUAAGUCUGAUGUGAAAGCCCCCGGCUCAACCGGGGAGGGUCAUUGUAGACUGGGGAACUUGAGUGCAGAAGAGGAGAGUGGAAUUCCA